UGAAAGUUUUCCGUGACAACCGGUUCCUUCCUUCCGAUGUGUAGAAUUUAAAAACAGGAGCCUAUCUAUCUAUCUAUAUAUAUCUAUGUAGUAGUGAUAAGGGAGAGCAGAUGGUCCCAGUCCUGUCUGUGUGAGGAGUUGGGUAGGAUACAGUUUAUCUAUGUAGUAGUGAUAAGGGAGAGCAGAUGGUCCCAGUCCUGUCUGUGUGAGGAGUUAGGUAGGAUACAGUUUAUCUAUGUAGUAGUGAUAAGGGAGAGCAGAUGGUCCCAGUCCUGUCUGUGUGAGGAGUUGGGUAGGAUACAGUUUAUCUAUGUAGUAGUGAUAAGGGAGAGCAGAUGGUCCCAGUCCUGUCUGUGUGAGGAGUUAGGUAGGAUACAGUUUAUCUAUGUAGUAGUGAUAAGGGAGAGCAGAUGGUCCCAGUCCUGUCUGUGUGAGGAGUUAGGUAGGAUACAGUUUAUCUAUGUAGUAGUGAUAAGGGAGAGCAGAUGGUCCCAGUCCUGUCUGUGUGAGGAGUUAGGUAGGAUACAGUCUCCCCUAAAUGCUCAUCUUGGGUCAGCCCCCC